rnacentral:sRNA from 1 species
CCUAGGUGUUGUGAAUAAGGAAAAUGCUCUUCGUUAAGCCAUAUUUGUGACUUCCGAUAUUUCACUAAUACUUUUCAAUCAAGAAAACAGCAUUGCUAACUUGCCUAUCACUUUAAAGUGGUAUUUGAAGGAUUUGUGUGAUACAAUUAUGACUUUGUAAUUAGGCACCCUAAAAACCUGAUCAGGCCUAUUGCUUACUUUCUUUGAUUCAUCUGUCUUCUCUGCUGUGAUCACCUUGUUCCUCCUGAUAUGGAAGGCGUGAUAAAGCGGAAUUGGGAAUAUAUAUGUAGCCAUGAUAAAGAAAAAACGAAGAUCCUAGGAGACAAAAAUGUUGAUCCCAAGUGUGAAGACAGUGAGAACAAGUUUGACUUUUCAGUGAUGUCCUAUAAUAUACUUUCACAAGAUUUACUGGAAGAUAACUCUCACCUUUAUAGACAUUGCCGGCGGCCAGUAUUACACUGGAGUUUUAGGUUUCCCAAUAUUCUGAAAGAAAUUAAACAUUUUGAUGCAGACGUACUUUGUUUGCAAGAAGUUCAAGAAGAUCAUUAUGGAGCAGAAAUCAGGCCAAGUUUGGAAUCACUGGGUUAUCACUGUGAAUAUAAGAUGCGGACAGGAAGGAAACCUGAUGGCUGUGCUAUUUGCUUCAAACAUUCCAAAUUUUCACUCUUGUCAGUGAACCCAGUGGAGUUCUUCCGCCCUGGUAUUUCUCUGUUGGACAGAGACAAUGUUGGAUUAGUUUUACUCUUGCAGCCCAAAAUUCCAUGUGCUGCCUCUCCUGCGAUCUGCGUAGCAAAUACGCAUCUGUUGUAUAAUCCAAGACGAGGUGAUAUUAAGCUGACGCAAUUGGCAAUGCUACUGGCAGAGAUUUCCAGUGUUGCCCACCAGAAAGAUGGCAGCUUCUGCCCUAUUGUUA